rnacentral:rRNA from 1 species
CCUACGGGAGGCAGCAGUGGGGGAUAUUGCACAAUGGGGGAAACCCUGAUGCAGCGACGCCGCGUGAGUGAAGAAGUAUUUCGGUAUGUAAAGCUCUAUCAGCAGGGAAGAAAAUGACAGUACCUGAGCAAGAAGCCCCGUAUAACUACGUGCCAGCCGCCGCGGUAAUACGUAGGGGGCAAGCGUUAUCCGGAUUUACUGGGUGUAAAGGGAGCGUAGACGGUUAUGUAAGUCUGGAGUGAAAGCCCGGGGCCCAACCCCGGGACUGCUUUGGAAACUGUGUAACUGGAGUACAGGAGGGGCAGGCGGAAUUCGUGGUGUAGCGGUGAAAUGCGUAGAUAUCAGGAAGAACACCGGCGGCGAAGGCGGCCUACUGGACUGAAACUGACGUUGAGGCUCGAAAGCGUGGGGAGCAAACAGGAUUAGAUACCCCAGUAGUC